rnacentral:ncRNA from 1 species
AAAAGACUUAGUCCUAACCUUGCUAUUGAUUUUUGCUAGACAUAUACAUGCAAGUAUCUGCGCACCAGUGAAAAUGCCCUAACUCUUUAACAAGAAAAAGGAGCAGGUAUCAGGCACACCCACAGUAGCCCAAGACACCUUGCUUAAGCCACACCCCCACGGGUAUUCAGCAGUAAUUAACCUUAAGCAAUAAGCGUAAGCUUGACUUAGCCAUAGCAACUCUUAGGGUUGGUAAAUCUUGUGCCAGCCACCGCGGUCAUACAAGAAACCCAAAUCAAUAGCCGCCCGGCGUAAAGAGUGGCCAUAUGUUAUCUACAUAGUUAAGAUCGAAAUGUAACUAAGCUGUCAUAAGCCUAAGAUCCACUUAAGCUCCCCUCAAGCCAUCUUAACCUCAUGACUAAUUUAACCCCACGAAAGCCAGGGCACAAACUGGGAUUAGAUACCCCACUAUGCCUGGCCUUAAAUCUUGAUGCCCACAUACCCGUGCAUCCGCCUGAGAACUACGAGCACAAACGCUUAAAACUCUAAGGACUUGGCGGUGCCCCAAACCCACCUAGAGGAGCCUGUUCUGUAAUCGAUAAUCCACGAUUCACCCAACCACUCCUUGCCAACACAGCCUACAUACCGCCGUCGCCAGCCCACCUAAAAUGAAAGAUCAACAGUGAGCCUAACAGUUUUUCCCCACUAACAAGACAGGUCAAGGUAUAGCCCAUGGAGUGGAAGAAAUGGGCUACAUUUUCUAACAUAGAAUAAACGGAAAAGGGCAUGAAAUUCGCCCUUGGAAGGAGGAUUUAGCAGUAAAGUAGGACCAUAUUUUUCCUUAAGCCUACUUUAAGACGGCCCUGGGGCACGUACAUACCGCCCGUCACCCUCUUCAUAGGCCACCAACACUAAUAAAUAAUACCCAUACAAAGCCAAAGACGAGGUAAGUCGUAACAAGGUAAGCGUACCGGAAGGUGCGCUUAGACCAC